CUCUCUACGUGUGUACACAAGCACAUGUGGGCAUUCUGCAGAAGUGCAACAAAAUGAAUUUCUUGCUUGCAAAUGAAGAGGCCUUACACUUCAUAUUUCUAGCACCAACAUGCACUUAAGAAACCACAUUAUUUAGGAAUCCAUGCUAACAUGGUUGCGGAUAGCUGCGAUCUGCCCCUUCCACGAGCCUUGCAUGAGAAGACGAGGGCAAAAUGUAGCCAAGGACAACCUGCCGACAGUCUGCAGUAGAGGAAUUUUCUCUUAAGUUGAUGCCGGCAGAUCAUCCUUGGCUGCACUCCACUCUCUGCUUCUUCAUGUAAGGCCUGGUGACAACUCUUGAAUGUCAUGAUACUUCCAUAUUUCAAAAGACUAAAGAGGAGGAUGAACUUGCAGGACCCAUCUUCUCCAUCUUGUGCUCUUCCUACUUCAUAUCGCUGAUAUGGUGUUCAUAUAUAUAGGCUGGUCUGCUUGACAAAGUGCUUGUCGUAUUCUCUGUUUGAUUCAUUUGGUUGUGUGGAAAAGUGAUGGAAAUCUUGGGAUGCCUGUUACACCUUCGCGACAAAAUUUUCAAAAGUGAUUUGUUACUUCUAGUGCAAAGAUGCUGUCCAUGUUUGGCCUAGGACAAGACUGGCUCAUAGUUGGCACAAUAUUCCUGGUAGUCUUGUUGGAGUUGAUAUUCUGUUUAAGCCUGAGAAUAAAGUUUCCAACAGUCCAUCUGGAUAGUGGCACUUAUAUGGUGCCAAUGCUUAGGCUCUUCUGGCUGGGUUAGUAUGAGGCCUGCUUUUCUGUAUUCAUUGAAAAGCAGUCUGAAGGCCUAAAUAAUUUUGCUGCUGAGACAUCUCAAACCAGGUCCAAUGAUGCAUUAAAAUGUUACACACACACACACACACACAUUAGAAACAGUGGUUAUUCACCACCACUCAGGUUUGAACUGAGGCCCUCAAUUGGAGAGGUAGGUGCCAACCAGCUGAGCUACCACUACCAGCUGCUGGUCCAUUUACAUGUUAUAUACUGCCAUUGUAUUAACCACAUCUACUUGUUAUCCCUUGAGCCAUCACUAGCACAUUUGCUUUGAAUGAGUUUGUUGUAUUCAUUAAUAUAUUACAUGUUAUGGGACUACACAUGUUGAUAUUGCUCAGUAGUGGUUGAUGCUUAUCUAAACGUCUGGCCAUGUAGACCAAUAAGACUGCAGUGUUUCUCCGGCUUUUUGAAUGGUUCUGCUGUCAUAAAGGUUCAAGCGACCCUUUAAUGCUAGGGAAGGUUGUUCUAGUGGAUACUUUUUUGUAGAGCCAGAUGCUUAUCAGGAAGUAGAGUAUAUAGUACUUUUUGUUAUUUUCUUUAUUAUAAAAAGACAGGCCAUUCCCAAUGAUUGUGUAGGUACCACAAGUUAAUGAAUUCUGAUCUAUCUUAUGGAGGACUAGGAUUUAAUUGGUAUACUGUUUUGGGACCAUGACAAUUGCUUGAGAACCAAUUUCAUGGUUUUUAUUCUACAAUGUAAAAACUCAAAUGGCAGGAAUGAGGAAUUGUUUUAAGAUUUAAUUUGCCUACACUAUUGUUGGUAGUGAGCUGAGAAUAGGGCGCUGAGCUGACACAAAUUUGAUUGGUCAACCAAAGGAUUGUGGAGAUUGAGGUGUAGUCAGAGAAAGCCAACAACAUAGGGUGAACUUCAGAUAUUGAAAGUAAUGAUAUCUUGGUAGAAUGGGAUAAAGGAGGAUGCAUGAUUUUGGGCCAAGUAAGAAGUUUUUGGAGCAGAAAUUGAGACAUUGAAAGAUGCAAGGGAGAUUUAAAAUUAUUAUUAGCGGUUCACUUCAGACCACCAUUCUGGCAAACAAGACAGACUUUCUCUCUAGGUGAUGUUACAGGGUUCAGGUGCCAGGUUGUGCUGACUUCAGAUCAUUUAUCUAAUGGAAUUGGGGCUAUACUAGCAAUCUCCAAAGGAAUUGAUAUUUCACUUCUGGUUGAUAUGGCUAUGUGUUCAUUUUGGAUCUUAGUGCUCAAGUGGAACUACAUGCAUAUUUCCAUUAAAUUCAGGCAUUGCUUGAUGUGUCUGUGUUGGAUGGUUGGCAAGUAUACGCCCAUGACAAAUCAAGUUGUUUGUUGGUAACUACAAGAAGCCUGAGUAUACAAUAAUUGGUAAUUAAAUAUAAUUUACAACCAAAUUAAACUAUAAGUACUGCUGAUCUACACCCACACUUGCCUCUUGGUAGGUCAACCUUGGUACUUCAACCGACUAGCAUGAUUAAUAAAAUCUUAAGAGGUUAAUAAUUAUUGCAUUGGACCUAGAAGGAAAUUAAGCUCUAGCUGGUGAAUGAUUGGCAAAAUUUUUGCAAUUUGAGUUUCAUAAUAAUUGUAAGUAAAAGAAUGGCAGAUGUCAUGGCAAGAGGGAAGUUGGAGAAUCUUUCUCUAGAAAUGAAAGAAUGCAAAUGUUUUCUAAGGAUGCCAUAGAUCUGUUGGAAGCCAAGAGUAUGUCUAUAGGUAAGCCAAAGACGGUAGAAUCAUUUGGGACACAGAGCAUAGAAUAUUAUACAUGUGGAAAAGUUAGUCCGCCAUGUUGCUUGUUAUAAGCUGAAUAAUGCUAUGGAGAAUAUCUCAACCUUUAAUUCUUUUGUUUAUGAAAAAUGCAACAUUAGAAAUUCUAAGAAACUUCUAGCGCAAUUGGAGGUGCCUUUUCUUUUGAGAACGUGAACAUUUAUCGCUAAAUUGUGCUAUGCAUAUGUAAUAUUCUCUCUUGGAGGAAAGCUUUGACUGUGCUUUAUCUUGGAGUUUUGACUUAGAUAGCUGCAUUUUUUACAUGUGACAACAACUGAUUUUAGUGCUGUGAAAACUCUUGAGGCUGUAGAUAUGAUUAAUCCACUGUUAUGUCAAUGGAACACUGAAAUUGGUGUCAUGAUCAGAAUCAAGUAAAAAUUUUGAAAUCGUGGUUCCUUGGUUCAGUGAAUGUUGACCAAACAGGCAUCCACAGAAUAACUGUUCAUUGCAUUUUUGCUGAUCCAUGCAACUUUGUCAUCUGAAGGCACUCUUUUAGCAAAGUGUGGUUGGUUAUUCUCUUUUAAUCUGUAACUCGAUAUAGUUUUCAAUAUUGUUAUGUCAAGGGAAAACUUUGACAUUUUUUGCUGAUCCAGGGGCAAAAUCAUUCACCCCAAAUUUGUACUAUUCUGAAAAAAAAAAGAGAAUAAAUCCAGCAAUAUGUUGCAAAACCAAUAAUUAAGUGGAUUUUCCAUUGAAAAAUCACUAUUUUCAUUAUAGAUUUGUAACUUUACCAUAUUAUUGUUCUGUCAUGGAAUAGUAACUUUUAGGUUGUUCAUCUCUUUAAUAUGUUUCAGAAUUCUUAUCGUCAUUUCUAUAAUAUUAUUUCAAGAAUAUGCUGAAUAAAAUAAAAAAGUAUGAAAACUGUAAAUCUCAUGGUACAUUCUUUUUCUGCUAAAUAGAUUAGCUGAGAUUUGUUGCUAUUUGUAGCACUACAUACUUAGGUGAAAUGUAGGCAGAGAGAUAUUUAACAUUUCCCUGUGAUUUCCCUUGUUAUGGUGCACAUGUGGAACUCUCAGCCACGAUAUUAAACAUAAUUACCACAAGUCUUGAGCAAAGUAGAAUGUCUAUAAAAAUCUUAAAGCAAAUUUAUGUCAAUUCAGAGCAAUUAUAAUAGAGUUGGAGAAGGUUGUAAGGUACAUCUUUGUUGGAUUAACUACUGCUGGCGAAAGAAUGGGUAGAGCGUAGGUAAGCCUGACGGCAUAUAUUUCUUCAUGUUGAGUUAUCUUUACUUAGUCAUCAUCGUACUCACUGAAUGCAAACAUUGUACAAGAAAGGGAUCCCUGAUUCAAAUAUAGUUGGUAUUUGAGGAGGCAAUAUUCAGUCCUGGACUUUAGGUAUUGUUUCAAAUCUUAAGGUUUAUUUUUUUUAAACUGUAAUCAUGGUCAUUCUAAUUGGCAUUAUUGACUUCACCAGCUUCUCCAUGAGCUGAUAGGUAAUUUAGUUCUUUGAAUGAAUUCUAAAGCUUGCUGGUUGGCAUCUUUUUGUCCGAGGCCUGGGGUGAAGAAAUUCAGGAAGGAAUAGCUCAAGAACUCAUGUCUCUACUGGAGGGAGUUGCACAAAUCAAAUUACUGCUGUCAUGUUACAUGCGUUGAGAUUUUGACAUCGAAUAAACUACUCGUUUUUGAACUAUGAAAUUUAUUACGUAUCAAGAGGUGAAAGUGUUGGACCUAAGGAAGGGCAAGCGAUAGCGCUAGCAGUAUCUUGCAUUCAUUAGAGUUCUUCAACUCAUAUGCAUUGUAUGCAUGUGUUGUUUGAGUUGGCAUUACUCAUUUAACUUUUGAAAAAUCCUUAGCAAUCCUUUCAGUAUUUAUGCGUACCUCAUAUUCCAACAAUGGGUAAACACAUGAUCAUCCUGCCACAUAAAUAAUUUUGAGUGCUAAGAGAGCUAUUGCUGCUUAUAAUCCAUUUUACAGUAUGUUUUAUGUGUACUCAAUCCAACUCAUAAUCAGAUUUUUCUACUCUGCUUGAUAUGCACUUAAUAGUAUGAAGUGUGUCUAAGACAAAGUAUGACUGGCUUGGUUCUUGAUAAAUUUGUAUAUGAUGGUAAAUACGGCCAUCCAGUUUUGAAGUUGAUUUCGUCAUUAGGCCGCUCAUUAUGUUCUUAUCUGUUGUUGCAUCAUCUCGAAGCACAGGUUUACACUUUGUAUUGUAAAAAUUUUCAUAGUGCUCUUCGUUGACAUUAUACUGGUCGCUCAAGAAUGCAUCUUUCACUAGUACUGCACGAUCCAUGAACAAAAGAAACAAGAAAAAACUAUGAAAGGUUGCAUACGAAGGUUAGAAAACAAAAGAAAAGAAAAAACUAGACACCAUGAAUAUCUUACUGUUUCAGAAGCCUAAAUUUUUCAGGUCAUACCUCUUGGCGCCGCCGAAGUUCUUCAGGGGGCAUUGCUUGAGUCAUGCAAGGGCCUUGUGUGAGAAGAAGAGAGCAGAAGGUAGCCAAGGACAGACUCGCCGGCAACUUAGGAGUGAGGUAGAGUCUCCUCUUCUUAAGGCUAAUGCCGGCAAGUCAUCCUUGGCUGCAUUCCACUCUCUGCCUCUUCACGUAAGGCCUUGGAUGAGAAAAAGAUGAGACUCCGGCCUCUCUUUCACCAUCUGAUCUGUUGAUGGAGAUGGUAUAUAUGGGCAGAGAUGGGUGUUUCAAAUGGUGACUCGGAAGCUGGCAAUGGAGAGCCAGUGGAAUGGUAUGUAGAUAUUCUCUUAACCCAUUCCCUGGUGGAACUUUUCUCACAGGCAGUGUAUGAUUUUGUGGUGCCAGCUUGACUCUUUCCUUUUUAGGAUGGAAGUGCAGAGGCUAAAAACAGUAAGUGGGCCACGUCUUGUAAGGGAUGCGGGCCCACUCGCAUUGGGUGGUUUGCUUUCUAAAUUGUUUGUUGGGCUGCUGAUGGGAAGAGAAUCUUUGUUGGAGGAAAGUUGGAGAUGAGAGAUAUGGAGUGGGGAUCAUGCCUGGCUCAUGAUCUUUGGCUGGGACCGACAUGGAGAUUUUGACUUUCGACUUAGUCGGAGGCAUCCAUAAUUGGAAAGGUUGGUUUUUGGCUC